AGCACAUCAACACAGAUUCCUAAGCCAGCCAUCUCUGCUCCUAAUGGACAUGUUUAUGGGAAUAAUUUGGAACAGAUGAGGCCUAAACUUUGGAGGGAGGCAGAUGUCACGCUUUCUGGAAUUUACAUUUUCUGGAGUCAACAGCCAACCGAAGCUCUCUGGCUUUAGUUCUGUUCUUCUGCAGGCAAGCUGAGAUGCCUUGGAGGAGGCACCGAGGACCCUUAGAGCAGAGGCAGAUGAGAAGGAGGCCAAGCAGUCAUGUUUAAAGGUAAAAGUAAUCUGUCACCAGCUCUGUCAGCACUGACUUCACUUAUAACAACAUUAAAUGGGGGGGAUCUGAUCUCUGUCUGAUCUCUUAACUGUAUCUGUUGCUGAUAUAUUUUUUCAUUUCAUUUUUUUAAAUCCUAAGCUUUAUAUGUUUGCUUUGAGAUAUGCCAGCAAACUUGAAAAGCUGCAAUAUUUUUUUUUCUCACAGUGGUUAUCAGGUGAAUGUCUCGACAUUCAGUAAAUAUGUUUACAUUGCCACACGCAUCCUGAUGAUAUCAGUAAAUUUUGCCUUUGCAUUUUUACACAGUCUUACACCUUCUGCUGUCACAUCACGAAGGUAUAUGAUAGUGAUUUCACCCCGUUGCUCAUGUAUAAUUGGUUUAACUGAUUGUGUUUCAUCUCACCCCAUGUUACAGCACUCCCCCGGUUCUUGUGUGCAUAUGCAAAAGAGUUAAUGAGCCGCAAGGUCACAGCGCUGCCAUCUACGAGGCCAUCCGUCAUGUCGCCUUCACUGUUCCUCGCCUGCUCUGAUUGGCUGGGAGGAUUCAUGAGGCUUGUAUUGCAUUACAUCACUGUUAAUGCACCAAGAGUUAAUGAACUUGCUUGCUCUGUCACUCAGGCCAUCCACAGUCACUCUUCUAAUCAGCAACCACUUCUUAAUCAGCUAUGAGGUCGUCUGGAGGUGGACGAGUGAGUGCCCAAUUCGGACACAGACAUUGGUCAUUGGAAUGCCUUUUUCAUCAAUGCAUCGAUUUGAUGGCCCCGUUGUGUUCAUUCUUCUCUCAUGUACGGGAGUCAGCAUGAUAAUCUGGUUGCCUGUAACUUCAGUCAAGUUGAAGAGGUUCCAUCAAAGCUGAAAUCCAAUAUGGAGGUCGUUAAGUUUGCAGACAGAAGCGACAGCUCAGGCAGAGAUGGUCACCCCUUUCCCAGCAGCCUCUGCUUCUGCUCUCAUCAACUCCACUGGCCAUCGCUGACAAAAUGGGCUUAUUUGACUCCUCACCCCGUGGCACAGAUGAAUAAUUCACCUUGCCGCUGCACUGCUGGGGAGGCGCAGGCAGGUUUGCAUUUGACAGAGCGUGGACAGUGGAUUAUGGGAUUGCGCAGAGGUUCUCCACUUCCAGCCUGUCCGAGAAAGACGACUUCAAACUGCAGCUGGGUGCGUUGAAGCCCGGCUUUGGUAGAAGCAAUGCUGCUGGUGCUACAACAUGGAUCGUGUAUGGAAAAAAAGCAGAUCUAAGUACUAUAAAAGUAGUGUGAUACUCUUCAAGACGCACCUCUAGAUGUUGAAAACAUAGACAAAAGUCACAGCGACUGAUCCAGAUAGUCUGCUACACACUUAACAUGAACACUGUGUAACGUGGGGAAAACCUCGCAAGCUGUUUAUACUUCUACAGUAGGUUGGCACCUUAACUGUCAUGGAAACUCAUUAGUUGAUUUCAAACACUCUACAUAGGUAGCAUUUCCAUAUGCCAUAAAAAGUUUAAUUCGAUUUCAUUAGAGAUUGAUAUUAGCAUGUUACGCUAACAGAGCUGUAAUCAUUAGAGAUUGAUGUUAGCAUGUUACGCUAACAGAGCUGUAAUCUAAUAAGGUGCGUCUCAAUUUGUGUACUGCACUAUGUUGUGCUAGUUUGUGUUAUAAAUAGUGAGAGUAGUGUGUUCGCACUGAAAAGUCUAAAAGGAAAAAGUGCACUGAAUGACGCACUUACUUAACUGGAAAAAAAUACUAAUUGUGGAAUUUUGGACACUUAAUGGCCUCCUAGCAGAAGGGGAGAGGCUAUCAGACUCAGAUUUUGGAUGACAAAAUAACCAACGCAUUCUCAUCCUUUAGCG